AGAAGCAAACUAGACAAUCAAGGUAUAACUGUGCGUAGGAGGAAAGAAGACGGAGUGGGGAGUAAACUGGACUGAAAUUGUAGUGAUGGAAAUGGAAGGUAGACGAGUGAGAAGGUUUGGGAGGGGACGCACUCGAUCUCAGACUCCCUCCCUCCUGCCUUUUCGUACAACCACUGUCGCCACCACCCCCAACCUCUCCAACACCAUUUCCUGUUGGUACUGCGACUAUAAAAUCUCUAUUCUCAAUCAACCCCUUUUCCUUUUUGGACGGAGACAUGCCAGGAGUUUGAGAGUAUGGUUUUCCAUUGGGAUCGGUUUUGGCCUAACUGCACUGAUUGGCGUUACUAUGCUCACUGAUUUUUCUCCCCACCAGAUCCUCCUUUGGGAAUUAGGCAAAGCCCUGUUUCUGUUCCCACCAAACACAAAGCUCGGAAAUCUUUCUACUAACUUGCUGUUCGGAUUUUCUCCCUCAGUCUCUGGUUUGAGCAUGUCGCUUGCCGAUGCUGGUUGUAUAUUUCUUUCUACCUUGAUUUCUGUAACUGUGCACGAAUUUGGGCAUGCUCUUGCCGCUGCAUGUGAGGGCAUGCAGAUGGAGUACAUUGCCAUUUUUAUUGCAGGUCUAUUUCCUGGUGCUCUGGUGGCUUUUGAUUACAAGUUGCUGCAAGCAUUGCCACAGUUUACUGCCCUUCGUGUAUAUUGUGCUGGUGUUUGGCACAAUGCAGUGUGUUGUGCAGGUUGUGGAUUGGUGCUAUUCCUCCUGCCCUUGAUCUUGUGUCCCUUCUACAUCCAUAAUGAAUGUCCCUUGGUUUUGGAUUUAUUGUCUACAUCGCCUUUGUCUCGGUAUUUGUCUCCUGGGGAUUUAAUCAUAUCGUUGGAUGGUGUUCGCAUCCAUAAUGCACAAGAGUGGAUGGAGAUGACAGCUUUAAUAGAUGAAGUGUCACUUCACAUUACAAAUCACUCCAAAUACAAAGGAGACUUUGGGAGAGUUACUGGCAGAAAAGGAUAUUGUGUCCCCAAUUUCAUGACAGAAGAUCCCGAGAAGAUUCUGUCAGUCAACAACCAAUCUGCCUGUCCUAAUGAUCUUACCGCAUUUGCAAAAAUUCCCUGUCUUGAUAUGAGAAUGUCAGAUGGUGGUAGCAGUGAAGAUGGUCAUCCAAAGAGAAGACAGGAUACCCACUGCAUGAAUGCUAAGGACAUUGUCAAGCUCAAUAAAUGUGGUGAUGGAUGGGCAACAAUAACCAAUGGAAGCAGCUGCACAUGUUCUCUGGAUGAGUCGUGCUUAAGUCCACUUUGGAUGCCAGGUUUGAGCUGGGUUGAGAUCACAUACUUGAGAUCAUCUUCCCCAGAGUGCAUGCAACUUGGAAGAAAUUCAUUUUCAAUUUCUCAGAUUUCUGAUCUUGUGGAAGCCAAAUGUCAUGGGACUUUUGUUUUUGUUGGUGAUGUGAUAUCCAUGGCAAGUUCGGUUCAUUUAACUUCUUAUCAACCUCGUUGGGCCUUUCGUUUUGGUACUAGUCUUCCAAAUGUACUUGAAAGAGUUCUGAUGUGCACAUUCCAUGUAUCUCUAACACUAGCUCUUCUCAAUAGCUUGCCAGUCUACUUUUUGGAUGGAGAAUCUCUUCUAGAGGUGACGCUAAGCCAUUUCACUUUGCUGAGCCCAUGGAAGAGGGAAAUGGUUCUCCGAGCAUGUCUUUUUGGAGGGACACUCAUUUCCCUCCUUGUCUUUGUGAGGACCUUUUUCAGUUUUUUCUAUGCCUAAGGUUGUUUACAAAUUUAUGGAAGACAAUGUGCUCCAUCUGGAUUGUUAAAAGUGUAGAAAAUACGUAGCCAAGGUCUUCAAUAAUGACUUUGUUUUGUAGGUAUCGUUUUGUUCAUAUUCCAGCUUUCUAUGGGAGUCACUUUGAUUGGGCCACUGGCACAAUAGUCUGACGCUCUGGACUUGCUUUUAUAUUGAGGAGCCAAUGCCAGCAAAUUUGACCCUUUUUAUCUUCAAGAGCACAAGUUAUGGUUAUUUAUUUACUUAUUUGUGGUGGUUCUGACCCCUCCUGCAUUUCUACAUGAAAAGGGUCGAUUUUUUUUUUUUUUUUUUUUUUUUUAAUUGCAGUAAUAUAUUUGAAAUAAACUAAACAUGACUGGUCCUCUCGUGGCAGGCCAAGUUUGCCAAUA